rnacentral:rRNA from 1 species
ACUCAAAUGAAUAGACGGGGGCCCGCACAAGCGGUGGAGCAUGUGGUUUAAUUCGAGGCAACGCGAAGAACCUUACCCAGGCUUGACAUCCCCUGACAGCCCGUGAAAGCGGGUCUCCCCUUCGGGGGCAGGGAGACAGGUGUUGCAUGGCUGUCGUCAGCUCGUGUCGUGAGAUGUUGGGUUAAGUCCCGCAACGAGCGCAACCCUUGUUCGUAGUUACCAGCGGUUCGGCCGGGCACUCUACGAAGACUGCCGGUGAUAAGCCGGAGGAAGGUGGGGAUGACGUCAAGUCAUCACGGCCCUUACGCCUGGGGCGACACACGUGCUACAAUGGCCGGUACAAAGGGUUGCAAAACCGCGAGGUCGAGCCAAUCCCAAAAAGCCGGUCUCAGUUCGGAUUGGAGUCUGCAACUCGACUCCAUGAAGUCGGAAUCGCUAGUAAUCGUGGAUCAGCCAUGCCACGGUGAAUACGUUCCCGGGCCUUGCACACACCGCCCGU